UGGGCGAUAAAACGAUAACGGUAUAUAUUGCGAAAUAACUUUUCCUCAAUAGAAAUAUGAGACAUGCUCGACACAAUUUCACUAGAAUUCAUUCGUUCAUGUUUUGACAGAUGUAAGAACAGCCAGUCAUAAUUAAGUAGCUCCGCACUGAACCAG